rnacentral:rRNA from 1 species
UGGCCGGUACAAUGCGAAGCGAAGCAGCGAUGUGAAGCAAAUCGCACCAAAGCCGGUCCCAGUUCGGAUAAGAGGCUGAAACUCGCCUCUUUGAAGUCGGAAUCGCUAGUAAUCGCAGAUCAGCAUGUUGCGGUGAAUACGUUUCCUGGUCUUGUACACACCGCCCGUCAAACCAUGAGAGUCGCCAACACCCGAAGUCCGCUUUGCGGCCUAAGGUGGGGGAGAUGAUUGGGGUUAAGUCGUAACAAGGUAGC